GUAAUUGUAGCUUAGUGGUUUAAGUGUUGGACUAUGACUCUGGAGACCAAGGUUCAACCUUGGGCAAGUCACG